CCACCAAAGCGACGAUCAGUAGCCGACCUGAGAGGGUGACCGUCCACAUUGGGACUGAGACACGGCCCAAACUCCUACGGGAGGCAGCAGUGGGGAAUAUUGCACAAUGGGCGAAAGCCUGAUGCAGCGACGCCGCGUGAGUGAAGAAGUAUUUCGGUAUGUAAAGCUCUAUCAGCAGGGAAGAAAAUGACGGUACCUGACUAAGAAGCCCCGGCUAACUACGUGCCAGCAGCCGCGGUAAUACGUAGGGGGCAAGCGUUAUCCGGAUUUACUGGGUGUAAAGGGAGCGUAGACGGCGAAGCAAGUCUGAAGUGAAAACCCAGGGCUCAACCCUGGGACUGCUUUGGAAACUGUUUUGCUAGAGUGUCGGAGAGGUAAGUGGAAUUCCUAGUGUAGCGGUGAAAUGCGUAGAUAUUAGGAGGAACACCAGUGGCGAAGGCGGCUUACUGGACGAUAACUGACGUUGAGGCUCGAAAGCGUGGGGAGCAAACAGGAUUAGAUACCCUGGUAGUCCACGCCGUAAA
rnacentral:rRNA from 1 species